AUUCAGGGGGCUCAGCCUUUGAGGCAUCAAAAAAAAAAUUUAUUAAUGUUCCUUCACUACUGGAAAUUCAAAUAUCUUGCAUUAAUGAGUUAAAAAAUAAAUAAAAAGUCAGACUUAACCAUAGCACCCAGUCCAAUCAUGAUUCUUCAUCUAUUGCAAAUGAUAGAAUGAAGAAAUCCCAGCUGAUGCAAUGCAGCCAUCGAUAAAUAGGGGUUAGCAAGAACGUCAGUGCUGUUUCUCUUACAGGCUCCCUGUUGAACUUUAGGCCUAAUCAUCAUUCCCAGGCUCUCCUCAAGCUAUUUUAAUUAACUUGCCUUCAGUGACUUCUGUAGAAGCAGAUAAAACAUUAUAGGUACAAUGCUAUGGCCAGGUGCAACAUUAAAGCCCGCAGUAUUUGGAAAAUGAGGGAAAAGGGGACUUUCCUGAGAACAGUGCUCAUCUCUAGAACCGUCAUUCAAUGCCUGAAAGACAGGUAAGCAUCGUACUGUUUGCAGGAAAAAAUGCAAGCUCUGUUUCCGGAGUAAUUGUAGUUAAUUCUUAUUUUUUCUGACAACUCUUCUCCCUUCUCACAGAUAGCCCUCCCAGUCAAGAUGCAGUUCCCAGGACAGAAGUGCCUUUACAAAAGAGAUGAAGGAAUGGUACCAGAUAUCAACAUUAUCACAUUCAGAAAGGGCUCAUGGGUACAGUUUUGGAGUUCUUGCAGAUUUCCAUCCCAAAACCACAGAGCGAGAAGCUGGAAGUGCAGGAAGAAACAUGGAAGGAGAUUGACAUCUGUUUUCCGUUCCCCUCCCUGAAGCAGUUCUUCUUCCUGCUCCAGGUCUAGCUCAACAGCAUACCAAGCUCUUUCACCGUUAGAGUGCGGAGGAAACAAGGAUCAAUUUCCUUUAAUGCACCUGCCUGUAAUUCCUGGCAGCGCAGCAGCUGUUCCUGAGCAGCUGUGGUACCUCUGCUGUGGAGGAAAGAACCUUGGAGAGAAGGGCAGGGCACAUUUCCUGGCUGAAGUCAAAGGCACAGGGUGCUGGCCAACACCGAGAUACCAAACUAGAGGCUGGUGUACCCAGCAGAUCUGAUGUCCCUAAGAGAUUGUACAGGUCCAAGCAGCAGCUCAAAGCACCAUGAAGUCAAAUGUAACAUUAAAAAUGCAUUCAGCAUGAUAAGUCAGACUACUUGUUCAACUGAAAUACUCAGCAAACACUAUUAAAGGAAACACUUGGUUCCUAAAAGUUCAACACUCCUUCCUAUCUGCUCUGGAUGGAAAAACUCAAGAACAUAAUUUCUGAGACCACCCAAAUUCAGAGGAGAAGAAAAGGCAGAGUGGAAUUGUCAACUUUCUUGUGACUUUAUAUUCAGAUGCUCUUUGGAAUCUCAUUGUCUUGGCUAUAAAUGCAGAAAAAGAUAAAGCAAUUGGAGAAAAGUGAUUAGAUGUAUAACAAUGGUUAAAGAGUUGAAGAAGAAUAAAAUUCCAAUUUGCAAAAGCUGAACAGGGAAAAAAAAGAAAGCAAGCAUAUUGCUGUGACCACAUCAUGUCAAGACUAGGAGAGCUAUUCUGAGCUAUGACAUUACUUCAGUGAAGAAGAGACUUUAUCCUUCAUCUGUAGGGGGAAAAAAACCGAAUUGAAGAAAUCUCAAGUUACAGUGUACCUUGCUCAGUGCACCAGUGCGUGCUUUUGCAAAAUAUAUGUAAAAAUAUUCCAUCUGCUGGGCUGCAUGCCGACACUUCUUGUCUUCUAGGAAUCAGUCUCUCCACUCAGUAAGGACAACUGUGUGUUUUGCCCCUUACUCCAUCAAGUAAAUCAAAGGGAAAUCACCACAGUAGGAGAUAAUUUUCAUUUGAGUUAACUGGAGUGCUAGCCAAAUGUAGAAAAAUCAUCACCUCUCAAAGGCUCAGAUAUACCAUCUUUUCUAGCAAUGUUUCCCCAGAUCUAGCUUAUUAACUCAUAAUAAUGAAGUAUUUUAAACAGCUUAAUACCACCUGAACUCUUUUAGAAAUUGUUUGAUGUACUCUCAUGCUGGUUUGGUUUGGUUCAAUUUGGUUUACUUUGGGUUGUGGGAGUUUUUCUCUGCUGAUUUUUAUGAUGAAAGGCAUGUAUCUGAUCUUAGUUCCAUGUUGUGGUACUGGAGAUUUGACCACUGAGCAGUUCUCACGCAGAAGAGAUAAUUAUUGAGCACACAGCCAUGAAAAAAUGAGCCAGGAAAGCAUGGUUAUUAUGUGUAUAAGAUGAGAACACAAUUUGAGAAGAUUUGAGAAUACGUAUUUUUGAAAAUUGGACAUAGCAAGACCAACUGCUGCUUUCUCUCAUGCGCCUCAUGUUAGUACAUCAGGCAAGUAUACAGGAAGAAUGAAGAAUUGUUAAACUAAUAAGCAACUAUGACCUGAAACCAAACAAGAUUUUAUGUCAUGCAAGUGAAAUACUGGAACAAUCCAUCAUUAGGAGCGGAGAGAAGAAAAAUCCUAUCUAAAUCAAAGAUAAGGUGUGAUAAAUACGUGGAGCUGACAGGAGCCAAAAUCCACGUGGAUCUUAC